rnacentral:lncRNA from 1 species
UGGGUCUCAAUUUAAUUAUGUUUAAAUUUUUGGUCUUAUUAAUUUGGGGUUUAUCUGUGUUAGAAAUUAAUUGUGUAGUCGAUGGUACUAUGCUCCUUGUGGGUGAAAUGAAUAUUUCGAUGUUUUUAUAAGUGGGGGAAUGAAUAUUUCGAUAAAGUUAUGUUAUAAUAGGUUGUGCUUUGGUUUUGGUUCAUGUAAUUUAUUUUGUUUGGGUAGGGUGGUUUAGCAAUCGAUGAUUUAAAUGGUUAAGAAUAAAUAAU